rnacentral:rRNA from 1 species
CUUCUAAAUAAAGACUAGUAUGAACGGCCACACGAGGACUUGACUGUCUCCCCUGUCCAAUCAGUGAAACUGAUCCCCUCGUGCAGAAGCGAGGAUAAACCCAUAAGACGAGAAGACCCUAUGGAGCUUUAAACUCAAUAUUAAUUACCUUUUAACCCCCCCUCUAAGGAACUAACAAAUAAUUUUAAAACUUAAUAUUAGUUUUAGGUUGGGGCGACCAUGGAGAAAAAAAUAUCCUCCCUGAUGAUCUUCUAACCAAGAGCCACAGCUCCAAGUAUUAAGAUACUUAACUCCCAUUGACCCAUUUUGUGAUCAACGAACCAAGUUACCCUAGGGAUAACAGCGCAAUCCAUUUCAAGAGUCCCUAUCGAC